rnacentral:rRNA from 1 species
UACGGGGGGGGCAAGCGUUGUUCGGAAUUACUGGGCGUAAAGGGCUCGUAGGUGGCCAACUAAGUCAGACGUGAAAUCCCUCGGCUUAACCGGGGAACUGCGUCUGAUACUGGAUGGCUUGAGUUUGGGAGAGGGACGCGGAAUUCCAGGUGUAGCGGUGAAAUGCGUAGAUAUCUGGAGGAACACCGGUGGCGAAGGCGGCGUCCUGGGAUAACACUGACGCUCAUGCACGAAAGCGUGGGGAGCAAACAGG